rnacentral:rRNA from 1 species
AUUGAACGCUGGCGGCAGGCUUAACACAUGCAAGUCGAACGAAGUGGCGAACGGGUGAGUAACGCGUAAUCAACCUGCCCUUCUGAGGGGGACAACAGUUGGCAACGACUGCUAAUACCGCAUACUUAAGGAGGGGAUUGCGUCUGAUUAGCUGGUUGGAGGGGUAAUGGCCCACCAAGGCGAUGAUCAGUAGCCGGGCUGAGAGGAUGAACGGGCACAACGGGACUGGGACACGGCCCAGACUCCGACGGGUGGGAGCAGUGGGGAAUCUGAAGAAAUGGAAGAAAGUCUGAGGGAGCAACGCCGCGGGAGUGAUGAGGGCCUUCGGGUUGUAAAGCUCUGUUAAUCGGGACGCGGUACCGGAAGAGAAAGCAACGGCUAACUACGUGCCAGCAGCCGCGGUAAUUC